AUUGAACGCUGGCGGCAGGCUUAACACAUGCAAGUCGAGCGGAGAUGAGGUGCUUGCACCUUAUCUUAGCGGCGGACGGGUGAGUAAUGCUUAGGAAUCUGCCUAUUAGUGGGGGACAACAUUCCGAAAGGAAUGCUAAUACCGCAUACGUCCUACGGGAGAAAGCAGGGGAUCUUCGGACCUUGCGCUAAUAGAUGAGCCUAAGUCGGAUUAGCUAGUUGGUGGGGUAAAGGCCUACCAAGGCGACGAUCUGUAGCGGGUCUGAGAGGAUGAUCCGCCACACUAGGACUGGGACACGGCCCAGACUCCUCCGGGAGGCAGCAGUGGGGAAUAUUGGACAUGGGGGGAACCCUGAUCCAGCCAUGCCGCGUGUGUGAAGAAGGCCUUAUGGUUGUAAAGCACUUUAAGCGAGGAGGAGGCUACUGAGACUAAUACUCUUGGAUAGUGGACGUUACUCGCAGAAUAAGCACCGGCUAACUCUGUGCCAGCCGCCGCCGUAAUAC
rnacentral:rRNA from 1 species